rnacentral:ribozyme from 1 species
CCGGAGAUGUUCCAGGACAUGAGCCCUCUGCACGGUGAUCCUUCGCCGGCACUGCUCGAAUCCGGGAUCGAGCUCCAUGUUGCCGCUAUAGAUAUCAACGAU